UUAUUUUACAACAAAUUGGAAGAAGAGGAAACAAGGAUCUGUGAUCUAUGCAUAGUAAAUGCACUCAAUGAUGUCCAACCAAAAGUUGGAUGUAGUGUGGGAGAGAAGAACUGUGACAUGACAGACGUGAUUGUCAAAGAAGGUGGUAGAGUGACUCUGAAUCAAAAGAUGAGUAGCAGUUGAGACGAUACCCCAACCUCACCUAGGAAUCGGAAAUAGGGGUUGAUGAUGAUGAAGGUGCUGGCUUUAUAUGCUGUAUCAUUAGUCACAUCUGCAGAGAUGCAGUAAACAAAAUAAAUGCAUGAUUAUUCUUGAAAUCAGAGUUAAAACAUAGGUGUGGAUUUUAAGAAUGAAAAUUAAUUGUAGUUUCAGGUUCAGAUAUCAAAUAAGAAGUUGUUUAUAUCUCCUGCAUUUUCUCUUCACUAGAUGAUUCUUUGCUAUUUUUAAUGGAAUUCACUUUUAAUAUCCAUUGUCCCAGAUUUUGUUAUCUAUACAAACAAUAUAGGUUGGCCACUUUAGGGUGUGAAACCAAAGAUUUAUGAAGGAUUUGAUAGUCGCAAAUUGAUUAAAUUUCAUGCUACAUUUUUUUUCUGGCAAUACAUGAUUUCUGAAUCCGAAUUGCUGACUAUCUCAGAAUGCUAACAGUAACAGUUAAGAUUACUGGGGUCAAAGGUUUAGUACCUGUGUUUUGUGCAUGUCAAGGGAGUAGUUAGUUUUAUGUAAGUUGGAACAGUAGUAACCAUAAACUUAGCAGUCAUGUUCAGACAGUUUUAACAGUAUAACAAAACUCUGUCCAAUUCCACUGUUAUUCAGAACCUUUGACUUGCAUAACAUUUCCUUUUCUCACUCUCUUUUUCAUCUCAGUUAGUUAAACCACAGCCUGCAUAGUGUAUUAACUACACACAGCAUCCAUGCAGUCUUAUUCUAUUGGUAGUCCCUGCCUUUCUAAUCAUUGUGAACAGAACAUUAUUGCUAAUUCAUAUUUUCUGUUAACCAAAACACAUUUCUUAAAAUAAUUUCUU